ACAAGGUUCUGGGCGUACUGCCAAAUUGCUCUACUGAUAGUGAGGAUUCUUCCCAGGUAUACAUUGUCAGGCAGGAAUUGGUUAUUAGAAAAGCACAAACAUCCAUCACAGUAUGUUAUUACAAGACUGGUUGAAAUGAUUAUUGUUAUUCUUUAAAAAUAUAUGUAUUUGCCUGAAUACGUAAUAACCAGUGGGUAACGUAAUAACGUAUUACAUUCAGUGGAAAAGUUCAUACGUUAACCGUUCAACAUUUAACCAGGUUAUCCGGCAAGUUGUAUUUUAUUACAUAGAAACUAUUACAUUAACCGUUGUUACAUGCCCUCCUAAGUCGUAAAAUGUACUGUGUUUCUCUCACAUGAAGGAGGGCUCAGGGCUGAGUUUCAUUCCAAAAAGUGGGUUUCUUCUUUCUACCCUUAUCACAUUUUCCGGUCAUUAUAACCUUAUUCAUUCUACCUAUAUUAAACAAAAUGUGUAUUUAGUAUAUAAAUGUAUUCUAACCCAUUGUGUAAAAUAAUCUAAAUGAAAAUGUUAGUAGAUGCAUGUCAUAAAUACAAAGAUAUGUUUAACUUGUUGCCUAGGAACAGGAAAAUCACACUGUUGAAAUUGCGUACAGUGUUGAUUCCCUCCACUGCCUUCACCCUGGUGUGAAGGGAGAAAGGAGAGGGAGGAAGGACUUCUGUUCUCAGUAGAACAACACAUACUCCAGGUGUGAAGGGAGAAAGGAGAGGGAGGAAGGACUUCUGUUCUCAGUAGAACAACACAUACUCCAGGUGUGAAGGGAGAAAGGAGAGGGAGGAAGGACUUCUGUUCUCAGUAGAACAACACAUACUCCAGGUGUGAAGGGAGAAAGGAGAGGGAGGAAGGACUUCUGUUCUCAGUAGAACAACACAUACUCCAGGUGUGAAGGGAGAAAGGAGAGGGAGGAAGGACUUCUGUUCUCAGUAGAACAACACAUACUCCAGGUGUGAAGGGAGAAAGGAGAGGGAGGAAGGACUUCUGUUCUCAGUAGAACAACACAUACUCCAGGUGUGAAGGGAGAAAGGAGAGGGAGGAAGGACGGUGUAGUGGGCUGGGAUUGGAUGGCCCGGCCAAAGCUAAAUCCUAUCAUAACUCAUUCAAAAUACACUUUACACCAUCAAUUCUGUCAAGAGUCUUGAGUUACUGGAAAGUGAUACAAACCUAUUUGGAGUGGAUAAGUAACCUAAAUAACCUAAAAAAAACCAGUACAAACAGUAAUAACAGCUCAUCUCUAAAUCCCUCUGUGACAUGGUCUGGUCGCGCUGAGCUCAACUCUCUCCCAGGGCAGAGUACAGGCUACUUCACUGGAUCUUCUCAGAACAGACCUUUUAUAGCUUACUGAGAACAGACCUUUUAUAGCUUACUGAGAACAGACCUUUUAUAGCUUACUGAGAACAGACCUUUUAUAGCUUACUGAGAACAGACCUUUUAUAGCUUACUGAGAACAGACCUUUUAUAGCUUACUGAGAACAGACCUUUUAUAGCUUACUGAGAACAGACCUUUUAUAGCUUACUGAGAACAGACCUUUUAUAGCUUACUGAGAACAGACCUUUUAUAGUUCAUAAAUGACCAGCAUGGUCGAAUAAUAAUAAGGCAGAACAGUUGAAACUGGAGCAGCAGCACGGCCAGGUGGACUGGGGACAGCAAGGAGUCAUCAUGUCAGGUAGUCCUGGGGCAUGGUCCUAGGGCUCAGGUCCUCCGAAAGAGAGAAAGAAAGAGAGAAUUAGAGUAAGCAUAUGUGGGGUGGCCAAUCCUCUUCUGGCUGUGCCGUGUGGAGAUUAUAACAGAACAUGGCCAAGAUGUUCAAAUGUUCAUAAAUUACCAGCAUGGUCGAAUAAUAAUAAGGCAGAACAGUUGAAACUGGAGCAGCAGCACGGGCCAGGUGGACUGGGGACAGCAAGGAGUCAUCAUGUCAGGUAGUCCUGGGGCAUGGUCCUAGGGCUCAGGUCCUCCGAGAGAGAGAAAGAAAGAGAGAAGGAGAGAAUUAGAGAACGCACACUUAGAUUCACACAGGACACCGAAUAGGACAGGAGAAGUACUCCAGAUAUAACAAACUGACCCUAGCCCCCCGACACAUAAACUACUGCAGCAUAAAUACUGGAGGCUGAGACAGGAGGGGUCAGGAGACACUGUGGCCCCAUCCGAGGACACCCCCGGACAGGGCCAAACAGGAAGGAUAUAACCCCACCCACUUUGCCAAAGCACAGCCCCCACACCACUAGAGGGAUAUCUUCAACCACCAACUUACCAUCCUGAGACAAGGCUGAGUAUAGCCCACAAAGAUCACAGUGCCAUCCAUUUUGUCAGCAAAGCCCCAUACAGUAGGGGAAAAAAGUAUUUAGUCAGCCACCAAUUGUGCAAGUUCUCCCACUUAAAAAGAUGAGAGAGGUCUGUAAUUUUCAUCAUAGGUACACUUCAACUAUGACAGACAAAAUGAGGAAAAUAAUCCAGAAAAUCACAUUGUAGGAUUUUUAAUGAAUUUAUUUGCAAAUUAUGGUGGAAAAUAAGUAUUUGGUCAAUAACAAAAGUUUAUCUCAAUACUUUGUUAUAAACCCUUUGUUGGCAAUGACAGAGGUCAAACGUUUUCUGUAAGUCUGAAGACAGAACCUCUACCGAUGGCAUCGUUUAACAGCAUUGAAAAAAAUCAUAUUUAUCCACUCCUGUUACCAAAUUUAGCCUACAUUUGGUGUGUAAUUUUACUGCAAGAAAUGCUUAAUUCUGCAGGAUUUAUUAUUAAGGCUAUAGCCCUAUUCACACGGGACUAGUAUUAUUAGAGAACGUUGGUUAUGUAUUUAUUACCCCAGAAUGUCCAUUAUUUCAAUGGAUGAUUCAGACGGGACUAGUUUUCUCUGCUCUCUAAUACUUUCUCUUUUUAUAUUAAUUGACAGUUAUGACUGAAGCCUGGAGGGGUUUUUUCUAGGCAUGAAGAUAUUUCAACAAGUCCAGGCUACACUGAUAAAACUCGAGCCUGGUUCCCAAGUUUGUAAACCAUACCAAACUGUCUUUGGUAUAGUGUUGCCACAGUAUUUGAAUUGAGGAAGUGUGAUCUGUGAAAGAAGAAUUACCUGAUUUGUUUGAUAUUAAUAGUUAACAAUUAAUACUUAACAAAUAGUAAGACAUUUCUGUUCUACUAAUGCUGUGUUUUUCUGGUCUCCACUCUAUCUCCCUGCAGCUAAUCUGGGCAUAUGGUUUUACUAUAGAUAGCUUGAGCUGACAAUUGAUUAAUAACUUGGUGAUAAAAACCUACAGCUGGUAUUCCAUAGAUAAGAUGUGGUGUGUGUGAUCCGAGAUAGAAAGAGCCUGGAGGAGUAGAACAAUCCCUUAUUGUGUCUAAUCAUUCUUGCAUCUGGGAAAUGUCCCUGGCUGCAGAUGAACACAGGAUGAACCCAGGAUGGAUUGUGGUGCCCCCCAAUCUGCAUGGGGGGGUGGAACCAGCCAUGACUAGGCAUGUUUGGGUCUCCUAUAGAAGAUCUCUGUUUUUGAUUAAAGGUUAAGCUCUCGGCAACACACACUUCGGAGUGUGUGGUCGACCAUCUUCAUUAUUGCAAUAAUGAAUCAUUAUUAAAUAAAGAUGAUCGUUUGACGAAAUGACAAAGUCUCUCUCAGUAUACAUGGAUUUCCAUGACAGAUAAUAAUCAUUAGGAUAGUUUAGCAAUCGGCAGUAGAAGACGUCCUAAAUGCUCCCCAGACGUCCUAAAUGCUCCCCAGACGUCCUAAAUGCUCCCAGCCUUCAGAUGGUAAACAUCUAACGUGGACUUCAUGUGCGUUUUUAGGAAAUGGAUUAGAAGGUAAACUUGUUCCAAACGUUUAGCUCAGUUGUAUGCUGCUUUGUGAUCUAUUAACAGCAGGGGUUGCAUUAAAUAGGAACAGCAUUUUUUAUGAUGCAUUUGGUGAUGUUCAAUAGCCUAUUUGAAGUCCUAUCUUGUGACUGUCGAAUUUGGAUAGCGCCUCACAAUCCUCACUCACACAUAACAUAGCCGACACUAAUAUAAUCUAUUACCACUUCAGCAAAUCUUUCCCAGACAUUACUUUUCUGGCCCUCAAUUCUCUUUAUCUUCAACUCUCCUUUUGCAGCUUUUGGCUUAUUGAAUUAUACUUCGACAAUGUCCUUUCCCCUCAGUGGAUUGACUUUUUCUGCCUGUUCCCAAAAGGCUUAUUUGGCGAUAGGCUGUGACGGCUAUUUGGCAUGCAUACACUUAAGCACUAAAGUUGAAGCUUAUGCAGUUAUAUGAGAUAGUGUAAAACAAUUAAAGAAAACACUCAAUGUAGCCUAUAUAAAUUGCAUAAUAAUGAAUGGAUUUUUUAAGGUAUUGGUUCUCUUUAUUCAACCCACCUGCCCUUCAGCCACACAAUAUUUAAUUAACCUAAACCCGUCCGCCCCGCAGAUAUAACUGCAGGGACUGUGGGUUAUAGGUCAACUCGCGCAUCACUUCCGGGGACCCCAGCCCAAAGUCUUUGUGGGAGAUGAGGCCUUUCCUCUCCUUCCCUGGAGCAAUCAUCCCCAGGAGAAACACGGUCUUCAACUACCGCCUCGCCCGAACCAGGCUGACUGUGGAGUGCACCUUCGCCAUUCUUGCGUCCCACUGGCAGAUAUUCCGGUGAUUUGCCAGGGUCCACCCUGCUAACACAGAUGUGUGUGUGAAGGCUACCUGUGUCCUGUAUAACUUCAUGAGCAUGGACACAAGAACCAGGAGGGGAGCUGCAGCUCGCCGCCGUGUGCCAGAGGAGAGGUCAACUGCUCUGCAGGAUGUUGCCAGGAUGGGGGCCAACAACGCAGCACUUGUCCGUGUGCUGGAGAUCUUCACUUUCUCCUUCUUGGAGGAGGGUGCUGUUCCCUGUUAACAUCUUGUGCCAUGUACUAUGUACAACCAAAGGCUCUUUUAAGAGCCACCCACAUUGCAGUAAAAUAUAUUUUUUUCAUUUAAUGUCAUCUGUAGUUAUUCUAUUCCCACUAUAUCUCCAUUUGAUUUAUAAUUCUCAGGUGAGGGUGCUGUUCAGGUCUGCACAAAACAAGAAUAGGCUGUUUUAAGAUGUUCAGGUGUGUGGGCUGUAGAUCCUUCCACCUUCAAAGAAUAGGCUGUUUUAAGAUGUUCAGGUGUGUGGGCUGUAGAUCCUUCCACCUUCAAAGAAUAGGCUGUUUUAAGAUGUUCAGGUGUGUGGGCUGUAGAUCCUUCCACCUUCAAAGAAUAGGCUGUUUUAAGAUGUUCAGGUGUGUGGGCUGUAGAUCCUUCCACCUUCAAAGAAUAGGCUGUUUUAAGAUGUUCAGGUGUGUGGGCUGUAGAUCCUUCCACCUUCAAAGAAUAGGCUGUUUUAAGAUGUUCAGGUGUGUGGGCUGUAGAUCCUUCCACCUUCAAAGAAUAGGCUGUUUUAAGAUGUUCAGGUGUGUGGGCUGUAGAUCCUUCCACCUUCAAAGAA